rnacentral:lncRNA from 1 species
GAAAUAAAAAGAAGACAGCUAGCAGAAGCUGCUGAAAAGAGGCAGAUGGAGGCUUCCUCUCGAGGUAUUAAGAAUGCUUACUCUGUAGAGCAGAAGAAAAAGAAACAGGAAGAAAUAGAAAAAAGAAUGGCAGCUUCACGUCCUGGAGGAGAAGGAGGGCUGAGAUGGCAGGUGGGAUAACACGUGGCUUCUGAAGAGAAGAGGACUUCUAUUGCCCAUAACUUGCCAGUUUCUGCAGCCAAGUGGCACCUGCUCAUAAUGUGGCUUUUGCUGUUUCCAUAUGAAGACUCAGCAGUACUUUGCCAUUGUGGGACAACGUGUGGAAACAUUCACUAAAAAUCUUAAGAACUAACUCUGAACACUAAGCAUCGUCUCGCAGAUCGCUUCAAAAACUCCUGGCAGGCAAAGCCCAGUGCUGGUAAGCUGGAAUGAAAGGCUGACUCUCCAUGACUGUGAUGGCAUUGUCUUUGCUGCAGUAACAGCAAGUGAGACCAUCUGCUGCUGCAUAUUGUUAAAAUACACUGCUUGUGCCAGAGACAGAGUGUUCAGAGCAGAACAUCCUGAAGUUUGGGGAGACACAGGGUGGGUGGCACCACAGUGGGCCCUGAGGAUCACAGGUGACUUCAAAUGUGGAUUUGGCAGUGACAGACUGAAUUCCUGGGACACAGCUCAUCAGGCACGAGUGGUGCCAGCAGUUUCUGGGCAAACCUGUCCAGCCCAUAAACAUUUGCUUGAUCCCACCUGUUUGUUCCACCUUAUUUUAGAUAACAUACCACAGGCUAAGAAAGCAGGAGAAAGAGCAAAGAAGCAGCACUGUACCUGUUAG